rnacentral:rRNA from 1 species
GACGAACGCUGGCGGCGUGCCUAAUACAUGCAAGUCGAACGCACUCUCGUUUAGAUUGAAGGAGCUUGCUCCUGAUUGAUAAACAUUUGAGUGAGUGGCGGACGGGUGAGUAACACGUGGGUAACCUGCCCUAAAGUGGGGGAUAACAUUUGGAAACAAAUGCUAAUACCGCAUAAAACCUAACACCGCAUGGUGUAGGGUUGAAAGAUGGUUUCGGCUAUCACUUUAGGAUGGACCCGCGGUGCAUUAGUUAGUUGGUGAGGUAAAGGCUCACCAAGACCGUGAUGCAUAGCCGACCUGAGAGGGUAAUCGGCCACACUGGGACUGAGACACGGCCCAGACUCCUACGGGAGGCAGCAGUAGGGAAUCUUCCACAAUGGACGAAAGUCUGAUGGAGCAACGCCGCGUGAGUGAAGAAGGUUUUCGGAUCGUAAAACUCUGUUGUUGGAGAAGAAUGUAUCUGAUAGUAACUGAUCAGGUAGUGACGGUAUCCAACCAG